CUUUGAGCCACAUCAAAUAUAUGACAGAGAAAAUGCUUUAUUUAAAUGCUGAAAACUAACACAAAACAGCUUGAAAUGUAAUCACCUCUGCUCAAUAAGUGAAACCACAUGUUGAUCUGACAUGAGUUUCUAAGACACAAUUAAAGGUCACUUUGUGUGCACACAUCUCAUUCCGCACUGAGAGGCUUGACUUGGUUGUCAGCGUGUUGGGCCACUGUGGGGCAGGUGCUCGCCGGCCCCGUCCAGCGAGCUGCUCCAACCCCGGCCGAAGGUAGUAAAUACUCGCAGCCCCGGAGCCUGAAAUCGAACCAUCCCAGGAAACAGACAAGCCCGCAUUUCAGCGGUCCCUGCCCUCGAGUCCUGGGAGACGAGAACUAAAUGCAUUUGGCAAUCCUUGCUAAUUCAGAGCCAAGAGCCCUCCCACGGAAGUGGCUUUGCUCAAAAAUGAAAACACAGCUUCCUUUCGGCUCUGCACACCUUUACCUUCACCAGGCUCCUGGGUCCAAAGAGACAAGUUUGGGUGCUCCCCUCGGGGGCAGGGGUGUUCCAGCCCCCCGGGGGGGGGGCUGCAUUUGGCAUUGUCUCCUUGGCAGCCAGCAGGUUUCAGUUCAAGAGUCUUUAAUGGAAAGACAGGGUAUUCGGAAAGUGACUUUUUUAAAACAAGCUCCCCGCAGGCCCGUCUCCUCUUUCCAUAUCCCUUUAAGAAAGGAUGUGCCCGAGAAAGACUUCAAAGUCGCUCUUUCAAAAGGCAAAUCACAUCUAGAAAGCUUUUCUCAGAAUGAGAAACAAAUUAUUUGAUUUGAAAGGGGAGUAAAUCUUCAGAGCAAGGAGGGAGGAUCAAAGAAUAAGUUCGUGUGAACCGAAGAAGUGACCCUUUCCAGUGGAACGUGACUUUACUCUUUCCGUGCACUCAACGCAUUUUGGAGACAGCUGUGCACCCCAACCUUUACACCGUCAUCGCGGCCCCUGCAGCGCAUUGCGAGGUGCAAGUCCUUGCACACCUGGGUGAAAUUCGUGGGUGGAGAGACAAAACGGCAGAGAACCAGGCGACCGGAGACAGAGCCACAGAGUCGCCCUGGUCCCGCCCACCGCCCUCUCUGCACUCCCGCUCAGCCCCCUCCCUGCUUCCUGUCCUCUGGACCCGGCAGACCGGAUUGGCUGUGAAUGCUGCAUUUGCAUUCCAAGAGAGAAGACUGCUCCGUGCCACAGCUGUUCAGGGGAGGUGUGGAGAAAUGUUCCUGAGGCUCUGGGUCCUUUUGCACUCAUCUCCUCCCCGUCGCUCUUCACUCUCCCACCUCAUGAAGCUGUUUGCACUCUCUCACCCCUGUCGUCCUAUCCCUAUCCAGAGACACCAGGCAGAAGAAGUCUGUGGGGUCCUGGGCCCAGGGUCCCCGAGGUCUACUUCAGUGAAUAUCCUGGAAGGGCAGGAUUAUUGUUCUCCAAGCCUUCUGUGUGGUUGUGAACCCCUCCAAGGCUGGAAUCCAGGCCUUUUUCUUUUGUGUAAAGACAUUCAUUGAAUACCUGUUCCUCCAUGAGAGAUUUUUCAAUAUCCUAGUAACAGAAAACAGAAAAGACCCUGAGAAUGUCAGUUGAGGUUUAAUUUAUGGGGUGAUUAAAUUAACUAUUUCUUUUC